CGUUGUCCGGAUUUCUUGGGCGUAAAGAGCUCGUAGGCGGUUUGUCGCGUCUGCCGUGAAAGUCCGGGGCUCAACUCCGGAUCUGCGGUGGGUACGGGCAGACUAGAGUGAUGUAGGGGAGACUGGAAUUCCUGGUGUAGCGGUGAAAUGCGCAGAUAUCAGGAGGAACACCGAUGGCGAAGGCAGGUCUCUGGGCAUUAACUGACGCUGAGGAGCGAAAGCAUGGGGAGCGAACAGG
rnacentral:rRNA from 1 species